rnacentral:rRNA from 1 species
AGAGAGAGACAUGCGCGCAUAUCAAUAAGCGGAGGAAAAGAAACUAACAAGGAUUCCCUCAGUAACGGCGAGUGAAGCGGGAAGAGCUCAAAUUUGAAAUCUUCAAGGGUUUACCUUGACGAAUUGUAGUUUAAAGAAGUGUUUUCUGUUAGAGAGUUUGGUAAAAGUUCUUUGGAAUAGGACAUCAUAGAGGGUGAGAAUCCCGUAUUUGACCAUUAUUUCCAGCUUUGUGAUACACUUUCAAAGAGUCGGAUUGUUUGGGAAUGCAGUCCAAAAUGGGUGGUAAAUUUCAUCUAAAGCUAAAUACUGGCGAGAGACCGAUAGCGAACAAGUACCGUGAGGGAAAGAUGAAAAGAACUUUGAAAAGAGAGUUAAACAGUACGUGAAAUUGUCAAAAGGGAAGCGUUUGACACCAGUGUUGUUUUCUCGAAAAUCAAUUAAAAAUGGCCUGGAUUUUGUGUUGUAUUGACCUUUAAUCAAGCAUACUGUCUACUUUUUCAUUGUCUUUUUAAUGCACUUUUCGUUUAACAAGUCAACAUCAGUUUCUUUUGCUGUAAAAGAGUCAUUGGAAGGUGGCUUUCUUUUCGGAGAAAGUGUUUAUAGCCUUUGACUUCUGCAAUCGGAGAGAUCGAGGUCUGCAGCGUAGAUCCUUCUGGAUUAGAUACAUUUGUGCUAAGUUAUAGCCUUCUCAUAGACAACUUGUUGACUAUGAUCUGUCAUGUAGCUUACUCGCUUAUGCUAUUUUACCUACGCUUAGGAUGUUGACAGCAGUAUAGACUG